rnacentral:rRNA from 1 species
GACGAACGCUGGCGGCGUGCUUAACACAUGCAAGUCGAACGGAAAGGCCCUGCUUUUGUGGGGUGCUCGAGUGGCGAACGGGUGAGUAACACGUGAGUAACCUGCCCUUGACUUUGGGAUAACUUCAGGAAACUGGGGCUAAUACCGGAUAGGAGCUCCUGCUGCAUGGUGGGGGUUGGAAAGUUUCGGCGGUUGGGGAUGGACUCGCGGCUUAUCAGCUUGUUGGUGGGGUAGUGGCUUACCAAGGCUUUGACGGGUAGCCGGCCUGAGAGGGUGACCGGCCACAUUGGGACUGAGAUACGGCCCAGGCUCCUACGGGAGGCAGCAGUGGGGAAUAUUGCACAAUGGGCGGAAGCCUGAUGCAGCAACGCCGCGUGCGGGAUGACGGCCUUCGGGUUGUAAACCGCUUUCGCCUGUGACGAAGCGUGAGUGACGGUAAUGGGUAAAGAAGCACCGGCUAACUACGUGCCAGCAGCCGCGGUGAUACGUAGGGUGCGAGCGUUGUCCGGAUUUAUUGGGCGUAAAGGGCUCGUAGGUGGUUGAUCGCGUCGGAAGUGUAAUCUUGGGGCUUAACCCUGAGCGUGCUUUCGAUACGGGUUGACUUGAGGAAGGUAGGGGAGAAUGGAAUUCCUGGUGGAGCGGUGGAAUGCGCAGAUAUCAGGAGGAACACCAGUGGCGAAGGCGGUUCUCUGGGCCUUUCCUGACGCUGAGGAGCGAAAGCGUGGGGAGCGAACAGGCUUAGAUACCCUGGUAGUCCACGCUGUAAACGGUGGGUACUAGGUGUGGGGUCCAUUCCACGGGUUCCGUGCCGUAGCUAACGCUUUAAGUACCCCGCCUGGGGAGUACGGCCGCAAGGCUAAAACUCAAAGGAAUUGACGGGGCCCCGCACAAGCGGCGGAGCAUGCGGAUUAAUUCGAUGCAACGCGUAGAACCUUACCUGGGUUUGACAUGGAUCGGGAGUGCUCAGAGAUGGGUGUGCCUCUUUUGGGGUCGGUUCACAGGUGGUGCAUGGCUGUCGUCAGCUCGUGUCGUGAGAUGUUGGGUUAAGUCCCGCAACGAGCGCAACCCUUGUUCACUGUUGCCAGCACGUUAUGGUGGGGACUCAGUGGAGACCGCCGGGGUCAACUCGGAGGAAGGUGGGGAUGACGUCAAGUCAUCAUGCCCCUUAUGUCCAGGGCUUCACGCAUGCUACAAUGGCUGGUACAGAGAGUGGCGAGCCUGUGAGGGUGAGCGAAUCUCGGAAAGCCGGUCUCAGUUCGGAUUGGGGUCUGCAACCCGACCUCAUGAAGUCGGAGUCGCUAGUAAUCGCAGAUCAGCAACGCUGCGGUGAAUACGUUCCCGGGGCU